rnacentral:lncRNA from 1 species
CGGGUCUGAACCCAGCUUCUUUCCUCCAGGUCACCAAGGUCCUGGGCAGGACCGGUUCUCAGGGACAGUGCACGCAGGUGCGCGUGGAAUUCAUGGACGACACGAGCCGAUCCAUCAUCCGCAAUGUAAAAGGCCCCGUGCGCGAGGGCGACGUGCUCACCCUUUUGGAGUCAGAGCGAGAAGCCCGGAGGUUACGCUGAGCUUGGCUGCUCGCUGGGUCUUGGAUGUCGGGUUCGACCACUUGGCCGAUGGGAAUGGUCUGUCACAAUCUGCUCCUUUUUUUUGUCCGCCACACGGAAUUGAGAUGCUCCUUUAAAUAAAGCGUUUGUGUUUCAAGUUAACUCAGGUUCUUGUCUGGGUUAUGCGACUAGGGUUUCUCCAGGUUUCUUGAGUGGCUCCCAGGCGGUCACCGAUCCUCCGCACUCUGGAAAUCCUGGCCGUGCGGUCUUGCCAAACGAAGCUUUUCCUUUUUGAGGCGGGGGGUCGUGUUUGUAUAUUGCACCCUCUACCCCAAACAAAACACAAGCGUAGUAGGAAUGUUUUAUUAGCAAAGAAGUUUCAGAGAGUGGGUGGAUCAGGGCUCUAUCACUUGGUCCCCACCUCACCUUGGUGGGGCCAGGGUGAGCCCCUUCCUGCCACAGUCACCCCAACUGAAAUUGCCUUUCUCUUCGGCCAGUGUUAGCCUCUGAGCAGAGGACCCUGGACCCUUCUGUGCGCCAAAGGCUGAGGUGACUGACGAGGAGAUCUCCCCACAGCUAGGUGUAGUGAGCCAGACGAGGCAGCUUACUGAACCUGGGGGUUCUCUCCAUUGUCACUGCAUUCUCCUUCACCAGGUGUGGCUGUCUGGGAGCCAGGGGGUGACUCGCUCUGGAGAGAGGGGAAAAGAGGGGGGCCUGCUGCAAUCUCCUUGAGGCAGGAAACGUGGGAUUCAGCCCCAGCCUCACUUAGUGGAGGUUCUUUUACCAUGGACCCAGGCUGCCUGGUUUGUAUCCAACCUCUGCCCCUUCUGACCUGGAAGAGGCGCUUGACCUUCCUCCCACAUCCCUUCCAGUGGGGUGAGUACAGGUGUUCCUCAGUUUACAAUGGGUUACAUCCCGGUGAGUACAUCAUAGGUUGAAAGUAUUGCAAGUUGAAAGGUGUUUAAUACACCUAAUCUCCCAAACAUCACAGCUUAGCAUGGUCCAUCUUAAGCUUGUUCAGAACGCCUUAGCCUGUAGUUGG